CUGAGAGCUGCUGCCCCACAAACUUCACCCACAGCAACCAUGACUUUGGUCUCCAUCUUCAUCUGGACACUCACCCUCUGGACUCAAGCAUCUUUUGGGGAAAUAAUCAUGACUCAAACUCCAGGAUCUCAGACUGUUUCACCUGGAGACUCUGUUACUAUCAGCUGCAGAGCCAGUCAGAGCAUCAGCAGCUAUCUUGCCUGGUAUCUGCAGAAACCUGGAGAAGCUCCUAAACUCCUGAUCUAUUCUUCUACUAGCCGUCAGUCUGGUGUUCCAGAUCGUUUCAGUGGGAGUGGAUCUGGAACAGAUUAUACUCUAAAAAUCAGUGGAGUUCAGCCUGAAGAUGCAGGAGAUUAUUACUGUCAGCAGGGUUACAGCUAUCCACUCACACAGUGUUAG